GGACUACUGGGGUAUCUAAUCCUGUUUGAUCCCCACGCUUUCGCGCCUCAGCGUCAGUUGUCGUCCAGAUAGCCGCCUUCGCCACCGGUGUUCCUGCUAAUAUCUACGAAUUUCACCUCUACAUUAGCAAUUCCGCUAUCCCCUCCGACACUCAAGCUUUACAGUUUCAAAGGCAAUUCCACGGUUGAGCCGUGGGAUUUCACCCCUGACUUGAAAAGCCGCCUACGCGCGCUUUACGCCCAGUAAUUCCGAACAACGCUAGCACCCUUCGUAUUACCGCGGCUGCUGGCAC
rnacentral:rRNA from 1 species